rnacentral:rRNA from 1 species
CAGUAGCCGCGGUAAUACGGAGGGGGCUAGCGUUGUUCGGAAUUACUGGACGUAAAGCGCACGUAGGCGGCUUUGUAAGUUAGAGGUGAAAGCCCGGAGCUCAACUCCGGAAUUGCCUUUAAGACUGCCGAGCUAGUAGGUGAGAGAGGUAAGUGGAAUUCCGAGUGUAGAGGUGAAAUUCGUAGAUAUUCGGAAGAACACCAGUGGCGAAGGCGGCUUACUGGCUCAUUCUAGACGCUGAGGUGCGAAAGCGUGGGGAGCAAACAGGAUUAGAUACCCCCGUAGUCCCUGUCUCUUAUAC